UACGUAGGGGGCUAGCGUUGUCCGGAUUUAUUGGGCGUAAAGAGCGUGUAGGCGGCCAUACAGGUCAGCUGUGAAAACUCGAGGCUCAACCUCGAGACGUCGGUUGAAACCGUAUGGCUAGAGUCCGGAAGAGGAGAGUGGAAUUCCCGGUGUAGCGGUGAAAUGCGCAGAUAUCGGGAAGAACACCCGUGGCGAAGGCGGCUCUCUGGGACGGUACUGACGCUGAGACGCGAAAGCGUGGGGAGCGAACCGG
rnacentral:rRNA from 1 species